rnacentral:sRNA from 1 species
CCGGUGUGACAAUCGCUCAAGGCGGAG